AUGGCGGCGCCGUGGCGGUCGGGAAAUAUUUCCAAGUAGAAAUCCCGUCGAUUAAAAUCAAUGGCUGCAUGCAAGAUUUGCGGCCUGAAAGUUUGGAGAUGUGGAGUCAAAUCGGCCAGUUUCAAUACCUCGAACUUGAUAAAACAUUUGAAGACGAAACGUGAACGAACACAACGAGUUUGAGCCUGCAAGAGCAGGACUGCUAUCCAGAGGAAAAAGGCCGCUGGACCGGAGCAACAAUCUCUGAGCGUGUACAAAAACAAAACACCUGUCCAUGACUUUCGUAUCUGCAAGGCACAGGGAGGCAUGGAAUUCUGAUAAACUGCUAGGUGGAAAACGCUGUUAGGCAAGGGAAGACAUCUUGAUGUGCCUCACAACAACACCUACUGUACGUUGAUGGACAUCUAUCCAUAUCGAAACUACAUGUGUUGAUUGCGUUCUACCUAGCGGCGGCCGAGAGGCUGGGACAGACGG